rnacentral:rRNA from 1 species
AUGGCCAAAUAUUGGUGGGGAAGCUCUUUUGACAAAAAAUCGCUGCAUUGGAUAUCUUGGGAUAAGUUGACAUUGCCAAAGGUCAAGGGGGGAAUGGGCUUUCGGGAUCCCCAAGUGUUCAACCUCGCCAUGUUAGGCAAACAAGGUUGGCGACUGCUAACAAAUCCCAAUUCGUUGUGUGCCCGGGUGCUCAAAGGGAGAUACUACCCACACACGGAUUUUCUCCAUGCCACGGUACCGGCCCGAGCUUCGACGACAUGGAAAGCAAUAGUGGCGGGACGGAAGGCAUUGGAGGUUGGUUUAAUUCACCGGGUUGGGGACGGCUCCACAAUCUCCAUCUGGACAGACCCGUGGAUACCAAAUACACUAUCGUGGAAACCAACAGGUCGCCUUGGCGCUACACCUUUGACUAGGGUUUCUGAGUUGAUUCAUGAUUAUACUGGCAAUUGGGAUGAGGAACUAAUACGCCAAAACUUCCUACAUCCUGACGCAGAGGCAAUCUUGAAUAUCCCUCUCAAUUCGGUGGGAGGGGAAGAUAUAUUGGCAUGGGACUAGGAAAAGUCAGGAAACUACUCUGUAAAGUGA